CAGCCGCCGCGGUAAUACGGAGGGUGCAAGCGUUAAUCGGAAUUACUGGGCGUAAAGCGCACGCAGGCGGUCUGACAAGUCAGAUGUGAAAUCCCCGGGCUUAACCUGGGAACUGCAUUUGAAACUGUCAGGCUGGAGUCUUGUAGAGGGGGGUGGAAUUCCAGGUGUAGCGGUGAAAUGCGUAGAGAUCUGGAGGAAUACCGGUGGCGAAGGCGGCCCCCUGGACAAAGACUGACGCUCAGGUGCGAAAGCGUGGGGAGCAAACAGGAUUAGAUACCCGUGUAGUCCCUGUCUCUUAUCC
rnacentral:rRNA from 1 species